rnacentral:rRNA from 1 species
CACGUGAGCAACCUACCCUUGACACUGGGAUAACAGUUGGAAACAGCCGCUAAUACCGGAUACGAACUCAGCAGGCAUCUGCCGAGUUGGAAAGCUCCGACGGUCAAGGAUGGGCUCGCGGCCUAUCAGCUUGUUGGUGAGGUAACGGCUCACCAAGGCGACGACGGGUAGCCGGCCUGAGAGGGCGACCGGCCACACUGGGACUGAGAUACGGCCCAGACUCCUACGGGAGGCAGCAGUGGGGAAUAUUGCGCAAUGGGCGAAAGCCUGACGCAGCAACGCCGCGUGCGGGAUGACGGCCUUCGGGUUGUAAACCGCUUUCAGCAGGGACGAAACUGACGGUACCUGCAGAAGAAGCACCGGCUAACUACGUG